CAAUUGAAGAGUUUGAUCCUGGCUCAGAUUGAACGCUGGCGGCAUAGCUAAAACAUGCAAGUCGCACGAAGCAGUAGCAAUACUGACUGAGUGGCGUAAGGGUGAGGAAUACAUUCCUAUGUACCCCAAGGUCGAGGAUAGCCAAGAGAAAUCUUGGGUAAUACUCGAUGUGGUCGUAAGAUCAAAGGUUUACCGCCUUGGGAGCGGGGAAUGUCCUAUCAGGUAGUUGGUGGGGUUACGG
rnacentral:rRNA from 1 species